AGAGAGGAUGGAACAGAGGGAGUUG
rnacentral:piRNA from 1 species